UUUGAAAUUUAUAUUUUAGUAAAAAAGCUAAAAUUAUCUAUAGGGACGAGAAGACCCUAUCAAGUUUUACAAUCCAAAAUUUAUUUUCAAAUUAAGUUUAAAAUUGUUUUGCUGGGGCAGCAGAUAAAAAUUUUUUAUUUUAAAAUUAUGAUAAAUAAAUCUUGAAAAAUCAAAAAAUUUUUAAUUAAAAAUAAAUUACUGUAGGGAUAACAGCCUAAUUUUUUUAGAGAGUUCUUAUCAUCAAAAAAGUUUGUGACCUCGAUGUUGGAUUAAAAUUCCUAAUUCGUGCAAUAAUGAAAUAA
rnacentral:rRNA from 1 species